CAAAUUUGAAACCCUCGGGAUUGUAAUUUGAAGAUUUGCCAUUGGAGAAAGCUAACCCAAGUUGCUUGGAAUAGUACGUCAUAGAGGGUGACAACCCCGUCUGGCUAACCGUUCUCCAUGUAUUGCCUUAUCAAAGAGUCAGUUGUUUGGGAAUGCAGCUCAAAGUGGGUGGUAAACUCCAUCUAAAGCUAAAUACUGGUGAGAGACCGAUAGCGAACAAGUACUGUGAAGGAAAGGUGAAAAGAACUUUGAAAAGAGAGUGAAAUAGUAUGUGAAAUUGUUGAUAGGGAAGGAAAUGAGUGGAGAGUGGCCGAGGUUUCAGCCGCCCCUCGUGGGCGGUGUACUGCCGACGCCGAGUCAUCGAUAGCGAGACGAGGGUUACAAAUGGGAGCGCCUUUCGGGCGUUC
rnacentral:rRNA from 1 species